AUUCUGCCCAAGCGGGGAAGGAUGAGAAGCUUCGACUAAGGUUCGACUCGAGCGCCAGCGAGAGAGCGUUGCCGCAGGCAACGACCCGAAGGGCGAAGCGCGCAGCGCUGAGUAAUCCUUCCCCCA
rnacentral:sRNA from 1 species